rnacentral:rRNA from 1 species
UACGUAGGGUCCGAGCGUUGUCCGGAAUUAUUGGGCGUAAAGGGCUCGUAGGCGGACUCUUAAGUCGGUGGUGAAAUCCUGGAGCUCAACUCCAGAACUGCCUCCGAUACUGGGAGUCUUGAGUCCGGGAGAGGUGAGUGGAACUGCGAGUGUAGAGGUGAAAUUCGUAGAUAUUCGCAAGAACACCAGUGGCGAAGGCGGCUCACUGGCCCGGUACUGACGCUGAGGUGCGAAAGCGUGGGGAGCAAACAGG